GAUGUAUAUACAAAGACGAUAUCUUUAUGGUCGUAUAUCAAUAGCCAGCUAGAUGAGUUUUCUAAUCCCUUCUUUGUGAAUUAUGAAAACCAUGUGUUAUAUCCUGUUGCUAGUCUGAGUCAUUUGGAAUUGUGGGUAAACUAUUAUGUACGAUGGAAUCCACGGAAGAGACCUCAGAUGCCCAUUCACCAGAAUCUCAAGGAGCUGCUGGCCGUCAGGGCGGAGCUGCAGAAGCGUGUGGAGGGCCUGCAGCGGGAGGUGGCCACACGUGCUGUCUCAUCCUCAUCUGAGCGGGGCUCCUCGCCCUCCCACUCCGCCACCUCCGUCCACACCUCAGUCUGACGAGCGAGGCCACCCUGCUGCCCCACUGUCUGCCAGCGGCUCAGGAAAGGGGCCUGGCCAUCACCGUUAUGGCUGUAGCUUGUGAUCUUGUCUUUUAGGAUUACGCCCAGGGACCAUUUGUGUGGCUAGGUGACAGCUCCCACUGUUGGCAAGUGCUUUUUGUUUUGUGAACAGCCCGUUACCCUCCUGUCAGCGGUUUCACAGGGGAGCCGUCUGUCACAUCCACCCUGUGAAGCAACUUCUAGCGUCCAGGCAGCUUGGGAGAAACUAAGUGAAUGGAUUGCAGUACUGAGGUUCAAGAAAGCUGUGCGCCAUUUCUUUCCAAGUUAAAUCCUUCAGUAACAACAAACACCAUUCACUUCAAGACGCAUUGCCAGCCCCAUGGCUUCCCUCAGCUCUUGGCCACAACUUGAAAACUGUUUUGAAUGAAGUACUUGGGGAGAAGACAGACCACUGCCCUCUGUUCCACAGUUCUCUUCAUGCACGGGGUCCUCCUGUAACAAUUACUGUUGUGUACAUACAAGGUAUUUUUAGAGAAGAGAAACAGGCCUUUAUUUUCCUAUGUCCUUUUUUACGUUUAGAAUAGUCACCUGAGGAGAGAUCAGCUCAACUGUACUGUGGGAGAAAUUAUUUUCCAACAAACCUCAUGCUCAUUUUUCUGUGGUGCAUUUGAAAUGGGAUUUGAACAUGGUCAUUUCAAGGACAACGUGUUCUGUCCUCACCUCACUCUGGUACUCACCUCUUGGGGCGGCUCAGCCCAUUCAUGGGGACAGCACCAAGCGGCCAUGCUCAGUCUUCCAGCCCCGCUGAGGGUAAACCGAAGCCUCUGGCAGCUGUGCACAGGUGCUGGCCUCUCGCUCCUUCAAGGAGCGCUGCCUGUCACUCGCUCCUGGGCUGUCUGGCCAUGCUUCCCACCACCACUUUACCGCUGCCAGCUGCCAGGAUCAAAGCAAGUCUGCUCUUAUGUUAUUUGCCUGUAUGGAAUCAUUUCUCAUUUUAUCACAGUUCCUUCAACUCAGCUUACUCACAUGGCUGCCUGUUAAUAUUUGAAAGCAGCCACUGUGCUGUGGCUUUGGUUUGGAAAAGCAUAGCACGCACUUCCCUUGGUUUUCCCUUCCCAGAGCCGACCACAGCUGGUCAGCCCUCUUCCCGCUCCCGAACCUUUACUGACUGACUGUGAGCUCUGUGACUCCAUCAGUCCUCGCAGGAAUUAAUUUACCACCCAUUGAUUCAAUCCACUUGUGCGCCAUAGCUCUGAGCUCCUCUGUGUGACAUGCCACAGAUGAUUAUUGCACACCUGGGUCCUGCCCCAGCAGGCCAUGCCCCUCCCUCAUGCUGUGCCCGUUGCUGCAACUUCCCCCCACCCCACCACGGGCUGCAGGAAUUCAGCCUUUAGAGGCAGAGGCGGCUGCAGCGGCUCCUAAGGUCAAACCCCAGCGUGACUGCAUAACAACGUUAGCUGGCUGUUUUCAAAUUACUGGAUUCCAGGCAAAGUCCUACAAAUUGACCUUAUUUUUGAAAAUAUGUUAAGGGUUUUUUUAAUAGAGAAUGGAUUUUUUUAAAAAAAACUGGGAGCCUCCUGAUUCUUACUGAAAAUUAUCCUUCUAUAAGAGAGCAGAGAGAUUUAUUCAAGGUAAUUUGAUAACCUAAAAUCAAUUCUCCAUUUUUAUCACAUGUGGGAUUUGUUGCUAAAUCAUAUUCGACAUUAGCUUUUAUGUUCCUGACAUAUCUGAACGUUAUUUAUGAAUGGAUAAACUGGAUUAUAGAUAUACUGAUUUUUUUUUUAAUGGGGACAUUUCCCAUUUUCUUCUCAGACAUAUGUAAUCCCCUGGCUGACCAGGACUAUUAAACAUAGUGUGGACUGGAUGAUGCCUUCGACAAACCAGAGAAGCCAAGUUGUGGGGAGCUGGUGCCUGGAGUGGGCCCUGUGCACCUCACCUGGCGGAGGCUGGGGGGCUCCGUCAGCAGGACCCUACAGACUCCUAUUCCAUUUUAAAGAAGCACAACGGGUCAUUUCCCUUUGUAUGUUCCUAGUGCAGAACUGUUUCUAAAACAUCUUGAAGUAUAGUUUUGUUAUCCAAGCAAUUUUUGUUUUAUGUGUACUAGAAUGCGAAACCUUUACGGUUCAGGUUUUUAAAAACUGGUACAGUAUUGUAUUUGUCUCAUCUGUUGCACUGUAUUUCAAUCUGUAAUUAAAAUGAUCUUAUGUUUG